rnacentral:rRNA from 1 species
UGCCAGCCGCCGCGGUAAUACGAGGGGUGCAAGCGUUAAUCGGAAUUACUGGGCGUAAAGCGUGCGUAGGUGGUUUGUUAAGCAAGAUGUGAAAGCCCCGGGCUCAACCUGGGAACUGCAUUUUGAACUGGCAGACUAGAGUUUUGUAGAGGGUAGUGGAAUUUCCAGUGUAGCGGUGAAAUGCGUAGAGAUUGGAAGGAACAUCAGUGGCGAAGGCGGCUACCUGGACAGAGACUGACACUGAGGCACGAAAGCGUGGGGAGCAAACAGGAUUAGAUA